CCUACGGGGGGCUGCAGUGGGGAAUAUUGGACAAUGGGCGAAAGCCUGAUCCAGCCAUGCCGCGUGUGUGAAGAAGGCCUUCGGGUUGUAAAGCACUUUCAGUGGGGAAGAAAGCCUUGGGGCUAAUACCCUCGAGGAAGGACAUCACCCACAGAAGAAGCACCGGCUAACUCCGUGCCAGCAGCCGCGGUAAUACGGAGUGUGCGAGCGUUAAUCGGAAUUACUGGGCGUAAAGCGCGCGUAGGCGGUCUGAUAAGCCGGUUGUGAAAGCCCCGGGCUCAACCUGGGAACGGCAUCCGGAACUGUCAGGCUAGAGUGCAGGAGAGGAAGGUAGAAUUCCCGGUGUAGCGGUGAAAUGCGUAGAGAUCGGGAGGAAUACCAGUGGCGAAGGCGGCCUUCUGGACUGACACUGACGCUGAGGUGCGAAAGCGUGGGUAGCAAACAGGAUUAGAUACCCGUGUAGUC
rnacentral:rRNA from 1 species